UUUUUGAGUCAGUGUUUGUUGCAUUUUUUCAUUGCCUGCAGCAUCAUCAUCUGCAGGUUUUCGAUCUCAAACAGAGCCUCCAGUUUUCUCUUGAUUUCAGCCAAGGCCUCUGAGUAAAAACAGCAUUUUAAUUUAGACAUUUGUUUAGAUUUUAGUUUAGAUUUUAGUUCACAACAAUCAGAGAAGUUUGAGCCUAAACUAUCCACCUGCUUGAUUUGUCUGCUCUGUGGCUUUCCCUCCUGUGUGGACAAAAUCACAUCAUUACCAUUUAAACAUGUACAUAACAAACACAUACUGGGUCAGAGGACAGAGGGUCAGAGGAGCAGAGGGUCAGAGGAGCAGAGGAGCAGAGGGUCAGAGGAACAGAGGGUCAGAGGAGCAGAGGAGAGGGACAGAGGAACAGAGGGUCAGAGGACAGAGGGUCAGAGGAGGAGAGGGACAGAGGAACAGAGGGUCAGAGGAACAGAGGGUCAGAGGAGCAGAGGAGAGGAACAGAGGAACAGAGGGUCAGAGGACAGAGGAGCAGAGGGUCAGAGGAGCAGAGGGUCAGAGGAGCAGAGGGUCAGAGGAACAGAGGGUCAGAGGACAGAGGGUCAGAGGAACAGAGGAGGAGAGGGUCAGAGGAGAGGGUCAGAGGAACAGAGGAGAGGGUCAGAGGAGGAGAAGGUCAGAGGAGAGGGUCAGAGGAACAGAGGAGAGGGUCAGAGGAACAGAGGAGAGGGACAGAGGAGCAGAGGAGAGGGUCAGAGGAGGAGAGGAGAGGGUCAGAGGGACAGAGGAGAGGGACAGAGGAGGAGAGGAGAGGGUCAGAGGAGCAGAGGAGAGGGUCAGAGGAGGAGAGGGUCAGAGGAGCAGAGGAGAGGGUCAGAGGAGCAGAAGAGAAGGUCAGAGGAGCAGAGGAGAGGGUCAAAGGAGGAUAUUAGAGGGUCAGAGGAGGAGAGGAGAAGGUCAGAAGAGCAGAAGAAAAGGUCAGAGGAACAGACGAGAGGGUCAGAGGAGCAGGGGGUCAGAGGAGCAGAGGAGAGGAUCAGAGAAGCAGAGGAGAGGGUCAGAGGAGAAGGGGGUCAGAGGAACAGAGGAGAGGGUCAGAGGAGCAGAGGAGAGGGGCAGAGGAGAGUGUCAAACCGUUGUUUUCAGGCUCCAGAGCAUCUGCCAGGUUGAAUCCAUCAGUGAAGCCUGUAAAAACAGCCAUGAUCAGAUGAGCAUAAUCUGAUGUAACUCUGUUCCUGACGUAAAUUCAUCUUGUAGAAACACACAGACGUACUUGAAGGCUUCUGGGGCUUUGGAGCUGCAAAGAAACAAAAAACAGAUCACACUUAAUAAUAACCUUAAUCAGCCUGAAUAACACAUCAACAAAAGCUUUAAGAAAGAGUCAGACUUUAUAAUCACUUAAUUACUAUUAAUUAAGGAUAUUAAUAAAGUAGUGACUCUGAACCUUUCUUAAAUCUUAAAGAGCUGUUCUGCUCUGUUCUGUUCAGAUCUUUAUCCAUGUUCU
ensembl:lncRNA